rnacentral:rRNA from 5 species
UUAGCGCGGUGGUCCCACCUGACCCCAUGCCGAACUCAGAAGUGAAACGCCGUAGCGCCGAUGGUAGUGUGGGGUCUCCCCAUGCGAGAGUAGGGAACUGCCAGGC